rnacentral:piRNA from 1 species
UGCCAGUCCUCCAACGUUGUAGGAUAUUAUC